UCUUUGCUAGUAUAUCGGUUAGUACACGCGCCUGUCACGCAACAUCGUGCGCGCGAAAGCUGGGUUCGACUCCCAGGCAGAGAG
rnacentral:tRNA from 1 species